rnacentral:rRNA from 1 species
CCUACGGUAGGCAGCAGUGAGGCAUAUUGGUCACUGGGCGCGAGCCUGAACCAGCCAAGUAGCGUGAAGGAUGACUGCCCUACGGGUUGUAAACUUCUUUUAUAAAGGAAUAAAGUGAGGCACGUGUGCCUUUUUGUAUGUACUUUAUGCAUAAGGAUCGGCUACCUCCGUGCCCCCAGCCGCCGUAAUUCGGAGGAUCCGAGGGUUAUCCGGUUUUAAUGGGUUUAAAGGGAGCGUCGAUGGGUGAUUAAGUCAGUUGUGAACUUUUGCGGCUCAAACGUAAAAUUGCAAUUGAUACUGGCAGCCUUGAGUACAGUUGAGGUAGGCGGAAUGCGUGGUGUAGCGGUGAAAUGCUUAGAGAUCACGAAGAACUCCGAGUGCGAAGGCAGCCUACUAAACUGCCACUGACAUUGAUGCUCGAAAGUGUGGGUAUCAAACAGGAUUAGAUACCCCGGUAGUC